rnacentral:rRNA from 1 species
AUGCACGCUGGCGGCGUGCCUCAUACCUGCAAGUCGAGCGAACAGACGAGGAGCUUGCUCCUCUGACGUUAGCGGCGGACGGGUGAGUAACACGUGGAUAACCUACCUAUAAGUCUGGGAUAACUUCGGGAAACCGGAGCUAAUACCGGCUACUAUCUUGAACCGCAUGGUUCAAUAGUGAAAGACGGUUUUGCUGUCACUUAUAGAUGGAUCCGCGCCGCAUUAGCUAGUUGGUAAGGUAACGGCUUACCAAGGCAACGAUGCGUAGCCGACCUGAGAGGGUGAUCGGCCACACUGGAACUGAGACACGGUCCAGACUCCUACGGGAGGCAGCAGUAGGGAAUCUUCCGCAAUGGGCGAAAGCCUGACGGAGCAACGCCGCGUGAGUGAUGAAGGUCUUCGGAUCGUAAAACUCUGUUAUUAGGGAAGAACAAAUGUGUAAGUAACUAUGCACGUCUUGACGGUACCUAAUCAGAAAGCCACGGCUAACUACGUG